rnacentral:rRNA from 1 species
GAAGGGUGCAAGCGUUACUCGGAAUUACUGGGCGUAAAGCGUGCGUAGGUGGUUCGUUAAGUCUGAUGUGAAAGCCCUGGGCUCAACCUGGGAAUGGCAUUGGAAACUGGCGACCUAGAGUGCGGUAGAGGGUAGUGGAAUUCCCGGUGUAGCAGUGAAAUGCGUAGAGAUCGGGAGGAACAUCUGUGGCGAAGGCGACUGCCUGGACCAGCACUGACACUGAGGCACGAAAGCGUGGGGAGCAAACAGGAUUAGAUACCCUGGUAGUCCACGCCCUAAACGAUGCGAACUGGAUGUUGGGUGCAACUAGGCACUCAGUAUCGAAGCUAACGCGUUAAGUUCGCCGCCUGGGGAGUACGGUCGCAAGACUGAA